rnacentral:misc_RNA from 1 species
AAGUGUUAGUAUUAGCUAAAUUGACAUAUACGGAAGUUAUAAGUAUCAUUCAUCUUUGCUAUCUAUUAUUUUCUUAGAUGUUAAUUCAAUUUGGUUACUUUGGUUUGAUUCCUAGGAGGAUAUAUAUAUAUGCAAAAUGGUACUGUAAAAUGGUUUAAUGCUGAUAAGGGCUUUGGGUUUAUCACUGGUUCAGAUGAUAAAGAUGUAUUCGUACACUUUUCAUCAAUUAAAACUGACGGUUUUAAGAGUCUUGAGGAAGGGCAAAAAGUUAGUUACGAUGUUGAACAAGGCUAUCGAGGACCUCAAGCGACUAAUGUUGUUCCACAAUAAUUUGUCUACUAUUGUGAAGAACAGCUUUUGAUGGAGCAGUUCUUUUU